GACGAACGCUGGCGGCGUGCUUAACACAUGCAAGUCGAACGGAAAGACCCUGCUCUUGUGGGGUGCUCGAGUGGCGAACGGGUGAGUAACACGUGUGUAUCCUCCCCCUGACUGUCGGAUAACUUCUGGAAACAGGGGCUCUUACCGCAUAGGAUCUCCUGAUGCGCGGUGGGGGUUGGAAAGAUUCGGCGGUUGGGGCUGGACUCGCUGCUUAUCAGCUGGUUGGUGGGGUUGGGGCUUACCAAGGCUUCGACGGGUAGCCGGCCUGGGAGGGUUAACGGCGACAUGGGGACUGAGAGACGGACCAGUCGCGAAUCGGAGGCAGCAGUGGGGAGUAUUGCAGAAUGAGGGGGAGCCUGAUGCGGCAACGCCGCGUGCGGGAAGACGGCUUUCUGGGUGUAAACCGCUUUCGCCUGUGACGAAGCGUGAGUGACGGUAAUGGGUAAAAAAGCACCGGCUAACUACGUG
rnacentral:rRNA from 1 species